rnacentral:rRNA from 1 species
GUAGGGAAUAUUGGACAAUGGGGGGAACCCUGAUCCAGCCAUGCCGCGUGGAGUAAGACUGCCCUCUGGGUUGUAAACUCCUUUUAUAUGGGAAGAACCGUCCUCAUUAAUGAGUGACCUGACGGUACCAUAGGAAUAAGCACCGGCUAACUCCGUGCCAGCAGCCGCGGUAAUACGGAGGGUGCAAGCGUUAUCCGGAUUCACUGGGUUUAAAGGGUGCGUAGGCGGAUAAAUAAGUCAGUGGUGAAAUCAACGGGCUCAACCUGUUAACUGCCAUUGAUACUGUGUAUCUUGAAUAUGAGAGAGGUAGGCGGAAUGUUGCAUGUAGCGGUGAAAUGCUUAGAUAUGCUACGGAACACCGAUUGCGAAGGCAGCUUACUAUUUCGUAAUUGACGCUGAGGCACGAAAGCGUGGGUAGCGAACAGGAUUAGAUACCCGGGUAGUCC